AUACGUAGGUGGCGAGCGUUGUCCGGAAUUAUUGGGCGUAAAGAGCAUGUAGGCGGCUUAAUAAGUCGAGCGUGAAAAUGCGGGGCUCAACCCCGUAUGGCGCUGGAAACUGUUAGGCUUGAGGGCAGGAGAGGAAAGGGGAAUUCCCAGUGUAGCGGGGAAAUGCGUAGAUAUUGGGAGGAACACCAGUGGCGAAGGCGCCUUUCUGGACUGUGUCUGACGCUGAGAUGCGAAAGCCAGGGUAGCGAACGGGAUUAGAUACCCCGGUAGUCCUGGCCGUAAACGAUGGGUACUAGGUGCAGGAGGUAUCGACCCCUUCUGUGCCGGAGUUAACGCAAUAAGUACCCCGCCUGGGGAGUACGGCCGCAAGGUUGAAACUCAAAUGAAUGGACGGGG
rnacentral:rRNA from 1 species